AAGGAGCGCAGCUGAAAAGGACGUUUCCUUGACUCCCGAGGCCGCGGUUUGCACGGCAGCCUCCUGCCUCUGCCUUCCCUGUUGACGUUCAAAGCCCAGCUCCGAAUCCCGAGGAGAAGCUUCCUCUCUCAUCAGAGCCGGAUCCCGCAGAUCAGGAGGGCCUCAGCUUCCAGAUACGGCCCCCGUGACACGCGCGCCGAGCGCCUACCGUCUGUUUAACGGCCCCAGCGUCAGGAAGGUGACUUCUCCUCCCUGGAGCAAAGCCGCAGACACACAGACGGUAAUGAUGGCGAGAGAGAGAGAGAGAACAAAAGAAAAGGAAGAAAGAAGAGAAAAAGAGGCCACCUUCCCCAGUACCUCAAGCUCCCGCUGGACGCACAGCAGAACUGCAAGGGCGAGCCGACUGAAUGUGAGACCCAGGGCGGGGGCUGCCCCGGAGGCCCUGCAGCCCGCGGAGUCUCCCAGUGUCAGUGCACUUGUGUGAUGUUCUCUGAGGGCAACGACGCCUUCGAGAAAAGCCUCCAGCUCCUUUCCCCCAAAACAGAAUUUCAUUUGAAAAUGAAAACACAGCACAUCCAAACUUGGGAGAUACAGUCAAAAAAACGCUUGGAAGAAUAUACGAUUGUCAGGGGACCAUGGGCUGAACCCGCCCACCUUGGCCAGCAAGGUGGUUGCUCGAGCUGACUCUCAGCAGGACGCCUGACAAGGAACCCAGGGCUGCCCUGAGACUGAGCUGGAGGACUUGCGAGGGGCCAGGAGGAGGGAGGAGACCCCUGAGCUCCCAGCAUCCUUGCACUGGAAUCCGCCUCGGCCGAGAGGUGCACGUGCCACCAGGAAGGACCCUGAGCCAGACUAAGCACCGGCCGAGCAAGACAACUGGAAACUCACCCCAUUCCCAUAAACCCUGAGCCUGCGAGCCCCGUGGCAGGGCAGUUCUCCCGGUUCCCUCACCUGCUGCUCUCCGCCCGGCCGCCCCUUCCCAGCACAGCCUCUUGCUUUGUCAGCACGUGUGUCUCCCCGGACAACUGAUUUCUGCGUGUCAGACAAGAGCCCGCACUCGGGCCCUGGAAGGGGUCCCCCUUCCAGCAACAUUAUGGCUUUAAAUGCCUAUAUUAGAAGAGGAAAAGGAACUCAGUAACAUAAGUUUUCACAUGAAGCUUUCACUGCUGCAGCCUGGGUUCAAUCCCUGGUCUAGGAACUGAGAUCCCACAUGAAGCCACCGCUCCCCCGGCCCCUCACCCCAAAUUCAACCUUUUUGUACCUCAAAAGGCACCAUUAGGAAAUUGAAGCGACAUACAACAGGCUGGGAACGAAUAUUUGCAAAACACACCUCUGCUAAAGGACUUGAUCCGGAUACACGAAUAACGCAUGCGUGUUAUGGUAAGAAUGCAGUUCGG
rnacentral:lncRNA from 1 species